rnacentral:rRNA from 1 species
GAUGAACGCUGGCGGCGUGCUUAACACAUGCAAGUCGAACGGUGAAGCAGAGCUUGCUCUGUGGAUCAGUGGCGAACGGGUGAGUAACACGUGAGCAAUCUGCCCCUGACUCUGGGAUAAGCGCUGGAAACGGCGUCUAAUACCGGAUACGAGCUGCGAAGGCAUCUUCAGCAGCUGGAAAGAAUUUCGGUCAGGGAUGAGCUCGCGGCCUAUCAGCUAGUUGGUGAGGUAACGGCUCACCAAGGCGUCGACGGGUAGCCGGCCUGAGAGGGUGACUGGCCACACUGGGACUGAGGCACGGCCCAGACUCCUACGGGAGGCAGCAGUGGGGAAUAUUGCACAAUGGGCGAAAGCCUGAUGCAGCAACGCCGCGUGAGGGACGACGGCCUUCGGGUUGUAAACCUCUUUUAGCAGGGAAGAAGCGAAAGUGACGGUACCUGCAGAAAAAGCACCGGCUAACUACGUGCCAGCCGCCGCUGUAAGAC